AAUAUUGAACAAUGGGCGAAAGCCUGAUCCAGCCAUGCAGCGUGUGUGAAGUAGGUCNNNGGAUUNUCAAGCACUUUAAGGUGNGAGNAAGGGGUUUAAGCUAAUACCUUCAAUCUUUGACGUUACCAAUAGAAUAAGCACCUGCUAACUCUGUGCCAGCAGCCGCGGUAAUACAGAGGGUGCAAGCGUUAAUCGGAAUUACUGGGGGUAAAGCGAGCGUAGGUGGUUAAGUAGGAUGGAAGGAAAAUCCCCGGGCUUAACCUGGGAACUGCUUGCAUAACUGCUGAGCUAGAUUACGGUAGAGGGUAGUGGAAUUUCCUGUGUAGCGAUGAAAUGCGUAGAUAUAGGAAGGAACACCAGUGGCGAAGGCGACUACCUGGACUGAUACUGACACUGAGGUGCGAAAGCGUGGGGAGCAAACA
rnacentral:rRNA from 1 species